GACGAACGCUGGCGGCGUGCUUAACACAUGCAAGUCGAACGGAAAGGCCCUGCUUUUGUGGGGUGCUCGAGUGGCGAACGGGUGAGUAACACGUGAGUAACCUGCCCUUGACUUUGGGAUAACUUCAGGAAACUGGGGCUAAUACCGGAUAGGAGCUCCUGCUGCAUGGUGGGGGUUGGAAAGUUUCGGCGGUUGGGGAUGGACUCGCGGCUUAUCAGCUUGUUGGUGGGGUAGUGGCUUACCAAGGCUUUGACGGGUAGCCGGCCUGAGAGGGUGACCGGCCACAUUGGUACUGAGAUACGGCCCAGACUCCUACGGGAGGCAGCAGUGGGGAAUAUUGCACAAUGGGCGGAAGCCUGAUGCAGCAACGCCGCGCGCGGGAUGACGGCCUUCGGGUUGUAAACCGCUUUCGCCUGUGACGAAGCGUGAGUGACGGUAAUGGGUAAAGAAGCACCGGCUAACUACGUG
rnacentral:rRNA from 1 species